rnacentral:rRNA from 1 species
CCAAUAGCGUAUAUUAAAGUUGUUGCAGUUAAAAAGCUCGUAGUUGAAUUUCGGGAUUCGUCCAUUGGUCAGGCUUAACUGUUUGUACUGAUGUGUCGGAUUUCUACCUUCUGAAGAACCUUUAUGCCAUUUAUUUGGUGUGUUGGGGAAUCAGGACUGUUACUUUGAAAAAAUUAGAGUGUUUAAAGCAGGCUAACGUCUGAAUACAUUAGCAUGGAAUAAUGAAAUAGGACGGUACGGUUCUAUUUUGUUGGUUUCUAGGAUCGCCGUAAUGAUUAAUAGGGAUAGUUGGGGGCAUUAGUAUUCAAUUGUCAGAGGUGAAAUUCUUGGAUUUAUUGAAGACUAACUACUGCGAAAGCAUUUGCCAAGGAUGUUUUCAUUAAUCAAGAACGAAAGUUAGGGGAUCGAAGACGAUCAGAUACCGUCGUAGUCUUAACCAUAAACUAUGCCGACUAGGGAUUGGACGAUGUUAAUUUUUUAAUGACUCGUUCAGCACCUUACG